rnacentral:siRNA from 1 species
ACCACACAUGCAUGGCUUCACCA